rnacentral:rRNA from 1 species
GACAUAGGUGGCGAACGUUAUCCGGAAUUAUUGGGCGUAAAGGGUGCGUAGAUCGCGUGAUAAGUUAUCGGUGGCAAAUCGAGGCCCAACCUCGCGGAAGUCGAUAAUACUGCCACGCUUGAGUUCAGAAGAGGUUGAUGGAACUCCAUGUGGAGCGGUAAAAUGCGUAGAUAUAUGGAAGAAUGUCGAUAAAGGCGAAGGCAGUUAACUAUUCUGUUACUGACGUUGAGGCACGAAAGCGUGGGGAGCAAAAAGG